GCUACUUCAUAACUGUAAUUUUGCUACUGUUAUGAAUCAUAAUGUAAAUAUCUGAUAUGCAGGAUGUAUUUUUCAGGGGUCGCGACCCACAGGUUGAGAACCGCUGAAGGCAAAGCAGGACCAUCCCUGUGUACUAGUAGACUCACUUCUUGAGCAAGUUCUAGCGUUUCCUAAGAAUUUUAUGAGGAUCUAUAAAUACUCAUUUCUUUUUGGCCUGUACCACUAGGUGGAGGUGCUAUGCUAGACUCCCCCUCUUGGCCUUUGCUCAUGCUGUCACCCCCCCUCCCAAGCUUCCCAUCCUCUGCCUAGAAUGCUCUUUCUCUAACCUCAUCUAUUUGAUAAAUAUAUGAUCUCAGUUCACCUCCAUUUGGCAACCUGGGGACAUUUAUUGGGUGACUAAUUCAUGCCAGGUACUGAGCUUAGUGUCUAGUUGAGAGCAGACCUGGAAACUGAUCAUUAUAACCUGUGUGGUCUCAUGUACUCAUUGAAGGAGGCAUCAUACUCCUACUCUCUUUCCCCAAGUAGAACUGACAGUUUCCAUUUUUGUGUACCUAUUUCAUAAUAAUAAUGAUAAUAAUAAUAAUAAUAAUAAUAGUUCAUUUCUCUUACUUAUGUUUCUUUUUACCAGAUAGUCUAUAAACUCCUUUAGGGCAAAGAGUCUAUAUUACCCCUGAAUAUCCAGCACUUGGAUUAUGUCUAUGCAUAGAAGAUGCCCAAUUAAUGUUUUUAGGAUGCGUGAACCCAUAUUUUAUGGCUAAUGACCUUCUAGAGAUUGUUUGCCAUGUCUCUUUUUUUUCAUGUAUUGCCCAAAUAUAUUUUGAGUGCCUACUGUGCCAGGCAGUCCUAUAAGAGUUUACAUUUCAAUGGGGUGGAGACAAUAGGCAAAUAAGGAAACUAUAUAGGGUAUUAGUUGGCAUGGAAUAUCAUGGAGGAAAAUUAAGCUGAAUGAAGGAUCAGGAGUGUGUGUGGGUAUGAGCAUUUAGAGGUUGUCAGGCAGUCAUUUCUGAGAAGGUGACAUUUGAGUCAAGGCCUGAAGGAGGUGAGAAAGCUCCUUCAGCAGAGGAGCAUCUGGGUAUAUGAAUAGGGAGUCUAUGGACAAGGCUUCAGAUAUAAAUAUGGCAGUUGUCAGUGAAUAGAUGGUAUUUAGAGCCCUGAGACUGUGAGGUCAGGAUAAAUACAGAAAACAUCCAAGGACUGAGCCUUGAGGCAUGUUCCUGUCAGAGAUGGCAGAGCUGAAGAGGAACUAAUAAAGGAGAUUGCAGGAGGGACCAGUGAGAGGAGGAAGCCAAGAGAAGGUGUUAAUGAUCCACUGUAUCAAACAUUACUCAUGGGUUGUGCAAGUUGAGGACUGAGAAGUGACCGUUGAAUUUGGUCAUUGGUGUCACAAAAGUCAUUGGUGUCUUUGACAAGAGCAGGUUGAAUGGAGUGGUAGGGUGACAGCUCUACCUAAGAAGCCCAAAAGAAAAUAGGAGAAGAAAAAUUAUAAUAUGGGGAACUCUCAAGAAGUUUGUUGUAAAAGGGUGGUUCAGAGAAAGAGGGUGGUCCUCGGAGAAGGAAUGUGGGAUUAAAUAUUUUUUUUAAGAAGGGGAAAAUUAUGAAAUGUUUGUAUGCGAAUAAGAGUGAUCCAGCAGAGAGGGAGAAAUUGAGUAUGUGAGAGAGGGAACAGAUGACAAAAGCCAUAUCCUCAUCUAGUCAGGAGGAGCCGGGAUGUGGUGCACAUGUACCAGCUGCCUGAGGUAGGAGCAUGAGCGGUUCAUUGGUGGUAACAGGAGGGAAGCCAUACCUGGACAAGGAUGCAGGCAUGUAGAGUCAUGUCGAGAGCUCAGGGCAAGUCAAGAGAUUGUCUCUAUCAUCUCAAUGAAAUAGGAAACAGGGUCUUCAGCAGGGACUAAGUGGGAAGGCAGAGAUAUCGGAAUUUUGAGGAGAGAGGAGAAAGUAUGAAAUAGUUGUCUGGAAGUGUCUUUAUUAAUUUCUCUGUGUGGAGUGUGUUUACCUGUGUGUGGGGUGGGGCAUCAGUAGUUGGCCUUUUCUAGGAAUGAAGAGUGUUGGUGUCAGAAGGGUGUGGCCCUCCAUAGGUGCUCCUCUUCCAGUCCAAAAGUCUGCUGGCCUGGGGCAAGCCUUCACAGUGCAGUGACUGGCGACUUGAAUGGGAAAUUAGGUUGAAAGCAGACUUGAGAAGGUUAGAGCCCUUGGAACAGCUUUAAGUGACAUCAAUAUGUUCUCUGCGUGCCAAGCUCAUUUCUGCCGACAGGCCCUUGCACUUGCUGUCUUCUCUUGCUGGAAUGUUCUGUCCCACAGUGGUGACUCAAUAUGAGUAAAAUCCUUCCUGACCACAGCAGUGCUUCUCUUUCCAAGAAAUAAACACUUUUACUUUCAGUUUUA